rnacentral:rRNA from 1 species
AACGAACGCUGGCGGCAUGCCUAACACAUGCAAGUCGAACGAGAUCUUCGGGUCUAGUGGCGCACAGGUGCGUAACGCGUGGGAAUCUGCCCUUUGGUUCGGAAUAACAGUCGGAAACGACUGCUAAUACCGGAUGAUGACGAAAGUCCAAAGACUUAUCGCCAGAGGAUGAGCCCGCGUAGGAUUAGCUAGUUGGUGUGGUAAAGGCGCACCAAGGCGACGAUCCUUAGCUGGUCUGAGAGGAUGAUCAGCCACACUGGGACUGAGACACGGCCCAGACUCCUACGGGAGGCAGCAGUGGGGAAUAUUGGACAAUGGGCGAAAGCCUGAUCCAGCAAUGCCGCGUGAGUGAUGAAGGCCUUAGGGUUGUAAAGCUCUUUUACCCGGGAUGAUAAUGACAGUACCGGGAGAAUAAGCUCCGGCUAACUCCGUGCCAGCCGCCGCGGUAA